rnacentral:tRNA from 2 species
CCGACCUUAGCUCAGAUGGUAGAGCGGAGGACUGUAGAUCCUUAGGUCACUGGUUCGAAUCCGGUAGGUCGGA